rnacentral:lncRNA from 1 species
GAAUGCGUCAAGUAUGGACACCAGCAAAGAGAAAAUACGGUAUAUUUUACAUAUUUUCUUCAAAGAAGGAUAAAAAGCAAGGUUGUAUGAAAUUCACUCACAGGCUGGACUUGGUCCAUGGGCCGCUUAUUGAAAAUCCCUGCUUCAAGGAGUACCUUAUAUUUAUUGGGAAAAUUAAAAUGAACAUCAAACCCAAGUGUAUUCUCAAGUUUUAGCUUUGGUGUUAAAUUCAAUUAUAGAGUCUUUGAUUGUGCGAUGAAUUCGAGUUGCAAGUUGGAGACAAGUUCACACCACUUCUAGAAAUGAACAUAUACUCUAAAUUUGAAUCUGGAUUAAGCUUGCAGAUUUGAAUGAAUGACGAUAAGGAUUGAAUUACUGAUUCAUGCAUUGUCUAUCAUCAAAGGAAUGGAUUAAAUAUGUAAACAAUAUUUGUACAUAAGUAAAAUGAAGAAAAACUAUACCAUUUAUCUUAAGAAAAAAAUCAUACAUAUCAAAAUACAAUUUAAAAAAAAACUAAAAAGACUGCACGAAAAGUUUUUCCAUCAUAAAUUUAUUUUAAAAAUGAACUUUUAAACGAGCUAUUCAUGAAUUUCAUUUGUAACUCUAAAGAUUCCUUUUGAAAAGCACACACAAUCGACUCUUUUGAUUGGACAAUCAACUUUGCAUCAAUAUAUGUCUUUUGUUAUUCAAUUGUAUUGCCUUUUAUAAUUAAAUUUCAAAGAUUUUAAAGGAAGAUCAAGUGAAUAAGACAUUCAAACAUAAAAUGAAAUACAUGUAUGUUAACAAUUUUUUUUUAUAAUAAUCAAAAUUAUGGCAAAUAUAAAUCGAUUUAUCUCUGUUUGAGCUGAAGACGAUUCCAACAAUGAUUAAAUAAUAACUCCAAAGUUGGGAAUAAUGA